AUUGAACGCUGGCGGCAGGCCUAACACAUGCAAGUCGAGCGGAUGAAGGGAGCUUGCUCCUGGAUUCAGCGGCGGACGGGUGAGUAAUGCCUAGGAAUCUGCCUGGUAGUGGGGGAUAACGUCCGGACACGGGCGCUAAUACCGCAUACGUCCUGAGGGAGAAAGUGGGGGAUCUUCGGACCUCACGCUAUCAGAUGAGCCUAGGUCGCAUUAGCUAGUUGGUGGGGUAAAGGCCUACCAAGGCGACGAUCCGUAACUGGUCUGAGAGGAUGAUCAGUCACACUGGAACUGAGACACGGUCCAGACUCCUACGGGAGGCAGCAGUGGGGAAUAUUGGACAAUGGGCGAAAGCCUGAUGCAGCCAUGCCGCGUGUGUGAAGAAGGUCUUCGGAUUGUAAAGCACUUUAAGUUGGGAGGAAGGGCAGUAAGUUAAAACCUUGCUGUUUUGACGGUACCAACAGAAUAAGCACCGGCUAACUACGUG
rnacentral:rRNA from 1 species